UACAGAGGGGGCAAGCGUUAUUCGGAAUUAUUGGGCGUAAAGGGCGCGUACGCGGCCUGGCAAGUGGAAGGUGAAAUCCCUCGGCUUAACCGAGGAACUGCCCUCCAAACUGCUUGGCUUGAGUCCGGGAGAGGUGAGUGGAAUUCCCAGUGUAGCGGUGAAAUGCGUAGAUAUUGGGAGGAACACCAGUGGCGAAGGCGGCUCACUGGACCGGAACUGACGCUGAGGCGCGAAAGCGUGGGGAGCAAACGGG
rnacentral:rRNA from 1 species